UACAGAGGUCUCAAGCGUUGUUCGGAUUCAUUGGGCGUAAAGGGUGCGUAGGCGGCGCGGUAAGGCGGGUGUGAAAUCUUGGAGCUUAACUCCGAAACUGCAUUUGAUACUGCGGUGCUUGAGGACUGGAGAGGAGACUGGAAUUCACGGUGUAGCAGUGAAAUGCGUAGAUAUCGUGAGGAAGACCAGUGGCGAAGGCGGGUCUCUGGACAGUUCCUGACACUGAGGCACGAAGGCCAGGGGAGCAAACGGG
rnacentral:rRNA from 1 species